rnacentral:rRNA from 1 species
UACAGAGGGUGCAAGCGUUGUUCGGAAUUAUUGGGCGUAAAGCGCGUGUAGGCGGCUUUGCAAGUCGGGUGUGAAAGCCCUCAGCUCAACUGAGGAAGUGCGCCCGAAACUGCAGGCUUGAGGCCGGGAGGGGGUAGCGGAAUUCCCAAUGUAGCGGUGAAAUGCGUAGAUAUGGGGAGGAACACCGGUGGCGAAGGCGGCCACCUGGACGGUCACUGACGCUGAGACGCGAAAGCGUGGGUAGCAAACAGG